GCAGACACGUGAUGCGGGGGAGGGGGGGGGGGCGUGGCAGGAGCAAGCGUCUGCCGCGGUGGCCGGGUGCCGGUAAGGGUUUCCAGCGCCCCCGGCCUAGGUUUUGGAGGCGCGGGAAUGCGUUCGUUGCUCAGUGUCGGACUUCCCCCUAUUCCCAUCGGCCGAGGCUGUCACUUUACGCUCAUAACCGUUUUUCUUUACUGCACUCGUGUCGGGAGGAAAGGGACUUGCGUGGCACCCCCAGACCUCCCCGUCUCCGCUUCCACGUUUGGUACAUCCUGCCUGAGGCAGGAAGCCGCAGCUGAGGGACGGCCUGUCGUACGGUGCGGAUGGUGGUGGCCUGCGAGGCUCAUUUCUAGCAAGGAACAAGGCUUUCCCGCUUUGAUUUUAUAAAUAUUAUGUUUACAAAGCUGUAAUAUAUAGAAAUUGAUAAGACGUGUCCCUGUCCCUGGAAACGCAGGCACCGCGUGUUUGGAAAGACAUUCAUCUGGGCUGUUUGACAGACUCCCCAGUUGGUGCCAUGCUCUGUGCUUAGGGAACUGUGAGACCCCUGGAGGGGUGGGUACCGGGACCGCACUCAGCCUGGGGUUUGGAGGCGGCCUCCUAUAGGAAGCGACCUGGGACCUAAGAUUUUUAGACUGACUGUGGGUUCACUGGAAUAAAAAGGAAGAAACAAAGAGCAUUGCAGGCAUCGGGACUGUCACAUUUGACAAGAUCAAAGCUGCAGGAAAAUGGACAGUGAGGUUCAGAGAGAUGGAAGGAUCUUGGAUUUGAUUGAUGAUGCUUGGCGAGAAGACAAGCUGCCUUAUGAGGAUGUCGCAAUACCACUGAAUGAGCUUCCUGAACCUGAACAAGACAAUGGUGGCACCACAGAAUCUGUCAAAGAACAAGAAAUGAAGUGGACAGACUUAGCCUUACAGUACCUCCAUGAGAAUGUUCCCCCCAUUGGAAACUGACGCUUGGCUCCUUUCUUGUGGAUGGAUUUUCUCAAAGUACACAGAUAAAGCAUGGUUUGUUUCAGUCUCCAAAUUCAAACCUUUGAGUAAUAAAUCAGCACUCAAAAAUGUACACCCAUUUAGUUUGUGGUAGCAAAGUGCAAUGCGAAAUUGAAUGAGAAACUGAGAUUUCUCAGUAAUGGUGAAUAUUUCGCUCUUUAAACCUAAAACUCUUCAUUGAGUAGCUUAUAUUUGAACAUGAUUGGUUAAACAUUUGCCUCUACCUCUGAUUUUGCUUUGCUGUCAAAGUUUAACACCUUCCAACUACUUAUGUGUGUCCUGUAACACAGGUGAUUGAACGUAUGAGAGGGAAAGGCAAAGAAAAAGGAAGCCAGACACUAGGAGAAUUAUUAACUUCUCAUACUUCCCCACAUUGAGAAGCAUUCGGAGUGUAUUUAGCCUGUAGAUGUUGUGAUAUGCAAAUAUCCCAUUCCCUGGUUACUGGCAUUCCUAAGAUUCUUCAUGGUAUUUUCAAACUUUGGAUAAAUUUACAGAUUAGAAAGAUAUCUGACAGUUAAUCUCUGUUCUCCUUACAAAUUCCUUUUGUGCUGCUGGAAAGGAUCUUUGGCUAGGUGGAUGACUAGUUUUAUUCAAAGCCUUUUCUCAAAGCCCUUUCAGUUACAACCACCCCACUAUGGAAUCAGUAUUUAGUUAUACAUUUGUAUAAGAACCUGUAUUUUGAAAAACACAUUCAUGUAUAUUUAUUCCUGGAAUUAUUUGCCUGUUAAACAGUGUCUUUCAUGUUCUCUCCCCAGAUUGUAAACUCUGUAAGAAGCUGCUUGUAUCUGUAUCCCUUGUUGAAACUCUGAAAACACUGAAUAACUAAAAUCUCUUCUCAUCCUUUU
rnacentral:lncRNA from 10 species